rnacentral:rRNA from 1 species
GACGAACGCUGGCGGCGUGCUUAACACAUGCAAGUCGAACGGAAAGGCCCUGCUUUUGUGGGGUGCUCGAGUGGCGAACGGGUGAGUAACACGUGAGUAACCUGCCCUUGACUUUGGGAUAACUUCAGGAAACUGGGGCUAAUACCGGAUAGGAGCUCCUGCUGCAUGGUGGGGGUUGGAAAGUUUCGGCGGUUGGGGAUGGACUCGCGGCUUAUCAGCUUGUUGGUGGGGUAGUGGCUUACCAAGGCUUUGACGGGUAGCCGGCCUGAGAGGGUGACCGGCCACAUUGGGAAUGAGAAACGGGCCAGACCCCUACGGGGGGCAGGAGGGGGGAAAAUUUCACAAUGGGGGGGAGCCUGAUGCAGCAACGCCGGGUGCGGGAAGACGGCCUUCGGGUUUGAAACCGCUUUCGCCUGGGACGGAGCGGGAGUGGCGGGAAAGGGUAAAGAAAGACCGGGUAAAUACGGU